UCUUCCAUUCAGUAUAGGGUUUUUUGAAGAUCCUGGGGGAAGAAUUCUCGGGGCCUCCUAUGAAUGUGGUGGUUGAAAUGCUUUUAGGGUUAGCUUUCUGUAUGUUGGCAGCGUAAGUGUGCCGGGAGAAUUCCUAU